GCCUCCGUAGCGUAGUGGUAGCGCUUCCGCUUAUCACGCAGGAGGCCCGGGUUCGAUUCCCGGCAGGGGACU